rnacentral:rRNA from 1 species
CGGGAAACCGGAGCUAAUACGGAUAAUAUAUUGAACCGCAUGGUUCAAUAGUGAAAGACGGUUUUGCUGUCACUUAUAGAUGGAUCCGCGCCGCAUUAGCUAGUUGGUAAGGUAACGGCUUACCAAGGCAACGAUGCGUAGCCGACCUGAGAGGGUGAUCGGCCACACUGGAACUGAGACACGGUCCAGACUCCUACGGGAGGCAGCAGCG